rnacentral:lncRNA from 1 species
GAGAUCCCUCUGUACUUUGUGGACUUGCAGGAUGACUUAGAGGACUAAGCGUGUUAAUUAGAGUCGGUGCUUGCUGUAUGCCGCCCUUCUCCAGCGUAGCUCCGGGUGGUACAGGCUGCAUGCCACACCUCAAGUUGGUUUUCUGAAGGUCAGAAAACCCAGCCAGGAAGCGCUACUGGCCCUUCUGGAGCAAGGUCUCAUUUCCCAGUGUGACAUUGAAGGCUAAGUAUGUCCUGCUCUGCUGGAGCGGUCUGCUCCCAGCCGUGAUGAUGAAUGCAGGAAGGAGGCCAUGAGCAUACCAACAUUUUUUGAGCUCUGCUCAGAUAACAUGAAGAAAGCAUGUUCAGAGUGCUUCACAGCUGUGUCCCACACUUCCCCCUGUGGUCUGCAGAACCCAGCUCUCAACUGUGUUCAUCAAACUCCUCAGUGAUCCCCAUCGAUAGGCCCAGCAGCUGUAGUGCCGCCUUAGCCGAGUGAGCUCUAGCCAGGAUGCUUGGCACCGCCAGCCCCCGUCACCUCAAGCAUCCACCUAGAAUCCAGCAACGAUCUCAUCUCCAGCUUUAGUAAUAGUGACCUUCUGGGCAAGAUGGAAGAUUAGAGCUUUAAUUAUGUAAAGAAGCAAAAAGUAAUUGCAAUAACGAUUUGGAAACAUGACUGCCGGGUUAUAAAUAAUGAAGCUACCACGUCUCCUCAGUUCAGAUAAAAUAUUCAUUCAGGGUGGUGAUUAAAUAACCUGU